rnacentral:rRNA from 1 species
AACCUACGGGAGGCAGCAGUGGGAAUUUGGACAAUGGGGGCAACCCUGAUCCAGCCAUGCCGCGUGUCUGAAGAAGGCCUUCGGGUUGUAAAGGACUUUUGUCCGGGAAGUAAAAGCGCGAUGUUAAUACCAUUGCGUAGCUGACGGUACCGGAAGAAUAAGCACCGGCUAACUACGUGCCAGCAGCCGCGGUAAUGGUU